rnacentral:misc_RNA from 1 species
UACACAUACACGCAUUUUGAUCAAUUUGGAUGAACAGAAAACAAGUGAAAAUGAAAGAAGAAAAAGGUUCAGUAUUUUCAACUUGUAGAGCACAAACCAAAUAUUCAGUAUCUUAAGUAAAUUUCAAAGAAUCAAAGCCAAUUUAUGCAGCUAAAAAGCCUGUACUCUUUUUAUCUGUCAAAACUAUAUAUGCAGCUUUCUUUCUUAGCAGGUCAUUGUUUGUUGAAGCUGAAAGCUAUGAAGGGGGCAACUGAAGUGAGAAGUAAUGCUAAAGGUUUGAGCACAAGAAAGGGGAAAAAUAUUAAUAAAACAAAGGUGAAAAUUUAAAUUAACAUAUUUUUCAAUGAAAAAGUUGGCGGAGGAUGAGUAUGCUUUGGAGUUAAUCGGAAUGUCUACUUUGCUGCCCUGCACCAUUGUAAUGGAACAAUAUCAGCUAUCUCAAGAAAAGAACGGAAAAAAAAAUGAAAAAGUUCUAUCUUUCUGGAUGCAGGUACCUGCUUGAUGAUCUAAAAGACUUCGUGGAUUAGCUUCUACUUCCCUAUUAUUCUUGCACAGUUUAGUUGAGUUCAAUCUAUCACCAUAUGAGGGAUGUGGGCUAUGAUGGGCCAGUAUUCUCCUUUCUCCUUCGAGCACCGCCGUUUCAGAAGAGGGCAGUUGCCGAUGUAGAGUUGUCCAAGUGUGGGAGGGAGGCCUUCUUUUGGUAAGGACCAGACAUUAGGACAGUUUAUGAUCCAUAAUUGCACAAGAGAGGUAAGCUCCUGGAUGCCUCUGGAUAAAGAUUCCAGGUUCUGGACUCUUUCGAGAAAAAGAAAGUUCAGAGAGGUGGGAAGCAAGAGCCCACCUUCAUCAGGAAAGGAGCUCAUCUCUGGAGGACUUGUCCCAACAAGAUGGAAGCAUUGGAGAGAAGUAAGUCUGUGCAUGCCCCAGUCUGACAUUGGCUGCUUCAAAUUCUCACAAUUCCAUAUCUCCAGCUUUGUUAAGUUAUGGGGCAAGCCCCCAUCUGGAAAGGAAGUGAGACUUGGACAAUCCAGUAUGAUUAAUGAUUCAAGAGACUUAAGGUUAUGCAUCUGAUUGGGUAGGGACUUGAGAGUCAGACAGUCCUCAAUCUUCAAGGAUUUAAGAUUGGGGAUGGAGAAGCUGCUACCUAAAGACUUUAAACUAGGACAACAACUAAUUUCCAGUUCACUGAGAUGCAUCAAACUAGCGUGGUAUUCAAGCUCCAAGAUUUUCAGAAUUGGGCAGUUCCAAAUACUAAUGCAUUCCAGCAACAUAUUACUUCGAAACAUCCAUCUUGAAAGUGACUCCAAUUGGUUGAAAUCCCAAACGUGAAACGUCUUAAGUCUAGACGGAAAAACCCCUGCCGGAAAUGUUGUGAGUGAUGAACAUCCACUAACUGUCAGUUCUUCAAGAAGAGGCAUAGGAUUGACAUCAUUAUCAAUACACAUGAUUCCCUCAGGCAAACUCAGCAGAUUUCUACAAUCUCGAAUGGCCAAGGACUUUAAAGUGCUAGGUAACUUGCCCUUUGGAAAUGAUUUGAGAGAAGGGCAUGACUGAAUUUCUAACUCUUCAAGAAGACACUGGUUGCUUUUGUUAGCAUGCAUCAACACUGUGACCCCUAAAGGUAGAGACAUGAGAGUAUCACAAUUUAUUAACUGAAGAUGCUUGAGGGAAGACGGCAAGCAUGUUUCUGCAACUGAGAUCAGUCUUGCACACCUUCGGAUGCUCAAACUUCUAAGGCAGGUGAGCAUGUGCAACCCAUUUGGCAGUUUCUCUAGGGCACCACCAUUAACUAGGUUCACAACUUCAAGACUGCAGGGCAAAGACUCUUCAUUUUCCAAAGACACAAGCUGGGAACAAUUAUGAAUCUCUAAACGCCUCAAAGAAGCAAGUCUUUCUACACUAGCUCUUUCCUGCCACAAAGAUAUCAUCUCAUGGCAAUCUUGAAUCUCCAAAAUUUCAAGUGAUUCCAAGCUCUGUAUCAACACAUUUGGCAAGGAAGUAAACCUUGAAAUUCUCCCAAUUCUUAAGGUGGUGAGUAAUGUGAGAUCAGUCAGAAUUUUGGGAACCACCUCAUUACAUUCUCUUAUAUUUAACUCACGCAGAGAAGGGAGGCUUAUUAGUGGACCUGUCAAGCUUGGGCAUUUAAAAAUAUGAAGACUAUAUAAGGACAGAAAGUGGCUAGGUAAAUUUCCAUUCAAUUUGGGACAGUUCUUUAUCGUAAGCUCUAGAAGAUUAGGGUAGAUUCCUUCUUCAGUGACACCAUGGAAAGACCAUUCGUGCCAUUCUUGCAUGUCUUCAAAUUUGAGAAUUUUCAAAGAUGGGAAAUAUACAAAAGAAGGAGAUAAAUCCCCAUAAAACUCAAUGCCAACAUAUUUCACAGCAUUCAUGCCUCUUAUGCUCAAGUCUUGGAGAGAGGGCAAUUGACCAAGUGAUGGUAAUGAUGUGCUCUUUCUGCAGUCACAGAGUUCCAAGUGUGUUAAAUUAGAGAAAGAGGAAUCACCUAGCCAGGAUGGGAAUUCUGUGCCACAAUAGAACUUGAUUGUGAGCCUUUUUAGAUUCUGAUGGGGUUCUAGAAAGUUGAGGACCUGCAUUUCAUUCCUUUUGCUUCGUGAGUCAUAAAAAUCAUCAAUCCAUUCAAAGGCUAACUCAUCAAGGCCCUGCUUCUGCUUUAAAUUAGCAACUCUGGCAUCUCUAACAUCCACCACAUGAUGCAGCCCUGUAAUGGAAAGGCCCUUUUGAAGUUGCAACAAAUCCUUCAACUCUUUUAUCUUGAGGCCACCACAUGUCCCCACAAUAAAUUUUGGCAAGAAUUGGAGGUCUGUCAAUUUGCCUAUUCCCAGUGGCAUCUCUAGCAAAUUAUGUGUACAAGUAAUGUCAAGAUGACGCAAAUUGAUUAGAUUCCCAGUUCCUGCAGGCAGCUUAGAAAGCUUACUACAUCUACGUAAUAUCAACGUCUGUAAGUUUGAAAGAGCACUCACAGAUUCAGGUAGGCACUGGACUGCACAGUGAGAAAUAUUAAGAUGCCUUAGAUGCUUUAAAUUGCUGAUUGAAUCUGGUAUCUCCUUUAUCCUAUAACCACUCAAAGAUAGUAUCCUUAAGCACUGUAAUCUUGUCAGCAAGUCCUGUAACACCUUAUAAGGUAAGUAGCACCAAUCUGAAUCUGAAGCAAGAAGAGCUGGUAAUGCCAGGAAUGUUCGCAAAUUUUUCAUUUUGUAGAAGACUUCAAACCUCUGCAAGAUGUCAUAUCGAUGAUGAUUGAAUGAAGCAUAGCGAACCUUUUCAAAAUUCAUAACAAAUUUGUCACUCUCCAAUCUAUCCUCCAAACUGAAACACACGUCUUCUGCAAUCGAUUGAGCAAGAUCAUGAAUCAGGUCAUGCAUUACAAACCGUGAACUGUUGCUACUUGAUUGUUGAAAAAAUGAUCUUGAUAAUAAAUCACCAAAAUACUCAAGACCUAAGACUUCCAUUUGCUUCUUUCCUUUUAUUUGUUGUAAGAAACCUUCAGCCAUCCACAACAAAACUAAUUCAUUCUCAUUGAAUUCAUAAUCUUUGGGAAAUAUUGCACAGUAGGCAAAACAUCGUUUCAAAUGAGAAGGAAGGUGAUGAUAACUCAAUCUUAGAGCUGGAAAAAUAACACUUCUCUCUUCUGGUAAAUCCCAUAUCCUGCUAUUCAAUAUAUCUUCCCACUCAUCACAAUUUUGUUUUCUGCGCAAGAGUCCUCCAAUUGCUUUUGCAGCCAAUGGCAAGCCCUUACACCUUUUCACUAUUUCUUCACCAAUUAAUUUAAGAUUUGGGUAUGAAUCAAAAUUUCUUGUUCCCAAUGCAUGUUGGAGAAAGAGUGACAAACAUUCAUCAUCCUCUAAAACUUGAAGAGAGUAAGCUGGAACAUUACCCAUGAUUGAUGCAACUCCUUCAUUGCGAGUUGUAACGAUUAUUUUACUUCCAGGUGAUGCUGUCACGAAAGGCCUACGAACAAUAUCCCACAGAUCAUAAUUCUCAUUCCAAACAUCGUCCAAGACAAGAAUAAAUUUCUUCCCAGAUAACUUCUCCUUUAACCUCACUUGAAGCAAAUUCAAAUCCUCCUUAUCAAAACUCUCCAAAGUUAUUGCCUGCAAAAUUGCUCUUGUUAUUUUAACAACAUCAAACUCUUCAGACACACAGACCCAUGCUUUUAGUUCAAAACUCUUCUUUACUUGUUCAUCAUUAAAGGCAAUUUGAGCCAAAGUUGUCUUUCCCACACCGCCCAUCCCAAUUAUGGGAAUCACACAUAAAUCAUCCUCACUAACUUCAGCUCUUAGCAAUAACUCAAGAAUAGCUUCCUUAUCCUUUUCCCUGCCAUAGACAUGACACUCAUUCACCACAGAAGUAGAAGGUAUUCUUUCUUUCCGUUCAUAAGACUUUGCUCCACCAUAUUCUUUCAGUUCAAGGUCAUCCUUUUCCGAAACCAGUUGCUUUAAUCUUCUAGUGACCUCCUUUAUUUUAGAUUCCAUUCUAAAUUUAAAGAUGGCGAUAUGUGGAUUCAAACUAGUAAAGCAACUAGGAAUAAAUUUCCGUGUCUUACUUGUACUAGCGUGGGGUUUACCAUUGCCUUGCGCUGCAGAGCUUCAGUUGUGAACUCAUCCAGUAAGUCCUCCAUGUCAUAAGCCAAGUCUCUUAGGUCUCCAAGCCAAAUCUUCACAAACCCAUUUGUCAUCUGCUUCUCCUCUGCAUCUUCAAGCACAGAUUGGAUCCCCAUCAACAUUUUCUUCAACCUUUCAAUGUCAGCAAGUACUUGAUCUUCACGAGCGAACUUCAGAAUCUCACGGCAGUCAAUCUUCUCAAGCAGGAACUGAAAGAUUGACGAUAGAGCAGCCUCGCCAAUCAAAGACAUUACCUGCCCAAUAAGAGGCAUGAUUCUUUCUGAAAACAAGGAAUCUAUGAAAGAGGUGGAGAUAGAGAAAUGGAAGGGUUUGAGGAGGGUGGAUUCAAAAGGGAUGCUUCUGUGCUCAGUCAGAAAGACGGAACGGAAUGGGACCCGAGAGAGAGCAAUAAUCACGGAGGGAAAAAGAUUUCAGAGAGAGAGAGAUGCUUCACAGGGGAGGAAACUUGAAGUU